UAAUACAGAGGCCUCGAGCGUUAGGCGGAAUCACUGGGCUUAAAGCGUGUGUAGGCGGACUUCUAAGUACCUUGUGAAAUCCCACAGCUUAACUGUGGAACUGCUUGGUAUACUGGUUGUCUUGAGGUACCUAGGGGCGAGCGGAACAAGUGGUGGAGCGGUGAAAUGCGUAGAUAUCACUUGGAACGCCAACGGUGAAAACAGCUCGCUGGGGGUAUCCUGACGCUGAGACACGAAAGCCAGGGGAGCAAACGGGAUUAGAUACCCCGGUAGUCCUGGCCCUAAACGAUGUCCACUAGAUCGUAGCGGCUCUGACGCCGUUAUGGUCGAAGCAAAAGUGCUAAGUGGACCGCCUGGGAAGUACGGUCGCAAGGCUA
rnacentral:rRNA from 1 species